rnacentral:rRNA from 1 species
UGGUAGUCCACGCUGUAAACGAUGUCGAUUUGGAGGUUGUGCCCUUGAGGCGUGGCUUCCGGAGCUAACGCGUUAAAUCGACCGCCUGGGGAGUACGGCCGCAAGGUUAAAACUCAAAUGAAUUGACGGGGGCCCGCACAAGCGGUGGAGCAUGUGGUUUAAUUCGAUGCAACGCGAAGAACCUUACCUACUCUUGACAUCCAGAGAACUUAGCAGAGAUGCUUUGGUGCCUUCGGGAACUCUGAGACAGGUGCUGCAUGGCUGUCGUCAGCUCGUGUUGUGAAAUGUUGGGUUAAGUCCCGCAACGAGCGCAACCCUUAUCCUUUGUUGCCAGCGGUUCGGCCGGGAACUCAAAGGAGACUGCCAGUGAUAAACUGGAGGAAGGUGGGGAUGACGUCAAGUCAUCAUGGCCCUUACGAGUAGGGCUACACACGUGCUACAAUGGCAUAUACAAAGAGAAGCGACCUCGCGAGAGCAAGCGGACCUCAUAAAGUAUGUCGUAGUCCGGAUUGGAGUCUGCAACUCGACUCCAUGAAGUCGGAAUCGCUAGUAAUCGUAGAUCAGAAUGCUACGGUGAAUACGUUCCCGGGCCUUGUACACACCGCCCGUCACACCAUGGGGAGUGGGUUGCAAAAGAAGUAGGUAGCUUAACAUUCGGGAGGGCGCUUACCACUUUGUGAUUCAUGACUGGG